rnacentral:rRNA from 1 species
UACGUAGGGGGCAAGCGUUGUCCGGAUUUAUUGGGCGUAAAGAGCGUGUAGGCGGUUUGGUAGGUCCGCUGUGAAAACUCGAGCUCAACCUCGAGACGCCGGUGGAAACCAUCAGACUAGAGUCCGGAAGAGGAGAGUGGAAUUCCUGGUGUAGCGGUGGAAUGCGCAGAUAUCAGGAGGAACACCUAUGGCGAAGGCAGCUCUCUGGUACGUGACUUGGACGCUGAGACGCGAAAAGCCGUGGGUAGCGAACAGG